CUACCCCCUCUCUCUCUCUCUAUAUAUAUAUAUAUAGUGGGGUUACUAUACUCUUAUAAGUAUUUAGACAUUCGUACUCAUAAGUUGUAUUCGAUGAUGGAGCUUCUGAAUUAACAAUCCACUCCGUUAAAUAUAAUCUAAAGUAUUUAAAAUUUUUUAAAAAUAAAUUUCGUAAUUUUUCGAAAUCAUAAUAAAGUCCAUCAAACAGGCAUGAAAUGAAUGGUCAAAAUCGAAUGAUGUCUUAAAAUUAAAUGAUCGGAUCCUUCAAUUUAAGAUCGGAGUUAUUGAUCUUUAUCUAGGAAGUGAAUAGAAUUUUUUAUCAAAAAUUCAAUCUUUUUCAAUUCUUUUACACCGUUAAACUAGCAAGUAUCUGAUACCGGCCGUUAAAAAUUGUCAAUUUUGUGAGUUUUUGAUAGGAAGAUAAAUUAUGUCGAAAAAUUAGAAAAUUUGAUUUCUAGAAAUUUUAAAUGCUCUAGAUAACGUUUAACGGUGUGGAUCGUCGAUUCGGAAGCUCUAUCAUUGAAAACAACCUAUGAGUACAAAGACGAUCGUACUCAUAAGAGUAUAAUAGCCGGACUCUACAUAUAUAUAUAUAUAUAUAUAUAUAUAUAUAUAUAUAUAUAUAUAUAUAGAGUUGAGUUGGAACGCUAUCAGUAGCAAACUGAUUUCAUUAUCAUCCAUUUAUUUUCGAUAAUGGAGCAUCUAAAUCGACGAUCGACACCGUUAAAUAUGAUCUAUACCACAGAGCACCAUCCUGUAUCGAUAAAUUCAUGUUAAUGUACUGAUGAGUAAAAUAAAGUAUGUGUCAAGAUACCGUCCUGCUAUUCUGAUGACACACUAACAUAUUAUGUGCUACAAAGUUGUCGUAGCCCUAGUUAGUUAAUUCACAAAUUAUUCGUGAAUUAUUCGCGAAUUAUUGAAAAUUCGAAUUAAACUGUCCGUUUACGAAUUUUUUUCAAAGAAAGAGAAUUAUUCGCGAAUUUUUGGAUCAGCCGAAUUAUUCGUGAAUUAUUCGCGAAUUAUUCCCGAAUUAUUAAAAAUAUGAAUAAAAAACUUAUAGUUUUUAUUUUUAAAUAUAAAUUAUCUUAUAUUUUAUAUCAUAUAUUUUAUAUUUUAUACCGAAUCCGUUUUCUAAGUCGAAUUUUUCAACGAAUUUAAAAAUUAGAAAAUAAAUUUUAUGCAUAUUAUAUCUGUAUCAAUUUUUUGUCGAAUCCGAAUUAACUAACUAUGGUGGUAGGUUGUAAUAAUUAGGAU
rnacentral:lncRNA from 1 species